rnacentral:tRNA from 1 species
UCCGGCGUAGCUCAAUCGGUAGAGCGGGUGGCUGUUAACCACUAGGUUGGCGGUUCAAGUCCGUCCGCCGGAGCCA